rnacentral:rRNA from 1 species
UACGUAGGGGGCAAGCGUUGUCCGGAUUUAUUGGGCGUAAAGAGCUCGUAGGCGGUUUGGUAAGUCAGGUGUGAAAUCUCCACGCUCAACGUGGAGGGGCCACCUGAUACUGCCAUGACUGGAGUCCGGUAGAGGAGUGUGGAAUUCCCGGUGUAGCGGUGAAAUGCGUAGAUAUCUGGAGGAACACCGGUGGCGAAGGCGGCAUCCUGGACCGACACUGACGCUGAGGAGCGAAGCCAGGGGAGCAAACGGG